rnacentral:rRNA from 1 species
UACGGAGGAUGCAAGUGUUAUCCGGAAUCACUGGGCGUAAAGCGUCUGUAGGUGGUUUAAAAAGUCUACUGUUAAAGCUUGAAGCUUAACUUCAAAAAUGCCGUAGAAACUUUUAAACUUGAGUAUGGUAGGGGUAGAGGGAAUUUCCAGUGGAGCGGUGAAAUGCGUAGAUCUUGGAAAGACCACCAAUGGCGAAGGCACUCUACUGGGCCAUAACUGACACUAAGAGACGAAAGCUAGGGGAGCAAAUGGG